rnacentral:rRNA from 1 species
GGAUGUNGAAUGGGCGCAGCCUGACGACGCAACGCCGCGUGGAGGACGAAGAUCUUCGGGUCGUAAACUCCUGUCGAGCGGGAAGAAACCCGCGGGGGUGAAUAACCUCUGCGGCUGACGGUACCGCUAAAGGAAGCCCCGGCUAACUCCGUGCCAGCAGCCGCGGUAAUACGGGGGGGGCAAGCGUUGUUCGGAAUUACUGGGCGUAAAGGGCUCGUAGGCGGCCAACUAAGUCGGAUGUGAAAUCCCCAGGCUCAACUUGGGAACUGCAUCCGAUACUGGAUGGCUUGAAUCCGGGAGAGGGAUGCAGAAUUCCAGGUGUAGCGGUGAAAUGCGUAGAUAUCUGGAGGAAUACCGGUGGCGAAGGCGGCAUCCUGGACCGGCAUUGACGCUGAUGAGCGAAAGCCAGGGGAGCAAACGGGAUUAGAUACCCCGGUAGUCCUGGCCCUAAACGAUGAAUGCUUGGUGUGACGGGUAUCGAUCCCUGUCGUGCCGAAGCUAACGCAUUAAGCAUUCCGCCUGGGGAGUACGGUCGCAAGGCUGAAACUCAAAAGAAUUGACGGA